UACGAAGGGUGCUAGCGUUGUUCGGAAUCACUGGGCGUAAAGCGCGCGUAGGCGGCUUUGCAAGUCAGGGGUGAAAUCCCACAGCUUAACUGUGGAACUGCCCUUGAAACUGCAAAGCUAGAGUGUCGGAGGGGAUGGCGGAAUUGCUAAUGUAGAGGUGAAAUUCGUAGAUAUUAGCAGGAACACCGGUGGCGAAGGCGGCCAUCUGGACGACAACUGGCGCUGAGGCGCGAAAGCGUGGGGAGCAAACAGG
rnacentral:rRNA from 1 species